rnacentral:tRNA from 1 species
CGCAGUGUAGCUUAAGGUAAAGCCCCAGGUUCAUACCCUGGUUGAUGCGGGUGCAAAUCCCGCCGCUGCCACCA